rnacentral:rRNA from 1 species
AGCGAACGCUGGCGACAGGCCUAACACAUGCAAGUCGAACGGAUCCUUCGGGAUUAGUGGCGGACGGGUGAGUAACACGUGGGAACGUGCCCUUUGGUUCGGAACAACUCAGGGAAACUUGGGCUAAUACCGGAUGUGCCCUUCGGGGGAAAGAUUUAUCGCCAUUGGAGCGGCCCGCGUCUGAUUAGCUAGUUGGUGAGGUAAAGGCUCACCAAGGCGACGAUCAGUAGCUGGUCUGAGAGGAUGAUCAGCCACAUUGGGACUGAGACACGGCCCAAACUCCUACGGGAGGCAGCAGUGGGGAAUCUUGCGCAAUGGGCGAAAGCCUGACGCAGCCAUGCCGCGUGAAUGAUGAAGGUCUUAGGAUUGUAAAAUUCUUUCACCGGGGACGAUAAUGACGGUACCCGGAGAAGAAGCCCCGGCUAACUUCGUGCCAGCAGCCGCUGUAAAAC